GGCGCCCAGCCUGAGGCGAGGCUGUUUGAAGGAGGCCCAACUCCAGGCGCUGGUUGACUAGCAGAUGAGCCUGGACAGCAGCCCUUCCCCAGAUACCGGCACUGUGGAGAUGCCUCUGACCUGGCUAUUCUGGGGUUUGGACCCAGCCUUUCGAUGGAUGAUGUGUUUGAAGAAUCUCCAGGCUUCUCCUCUGCCAUCUCCAUUUCUGGGGGCCAGGUUUGGCUCAGGAGCCAGGAGUCCUUGACUCCCCUUGUGACCCUGACAGCACCCUUUCUCAAGUCUCAGUUCUCCAGCGGGACAGUGGAAUUGGGUCCCAGUUCUGGGGAGUGCUCUGCUGGCACAGUGUCCUAGGAGUGCCUGAUGUGAACGACAAAUCCAUGGGCUUUGGCUCUCAUAAACCUUUGCCCAUUCAACACACACACACACACACACACACACACACACACACACACCACCUAGCAAACUGCAGGAUACUGAAGUCCCACCAUUAAAGCUUGUCUCUCGGUCU